rnacentral:rRNA from 1 species
UACGGAGGGUGCAAGCGUUAUCCGGAUUCACUGGGUUUAAAGGGUGCGUAGGUGGGCAGGUAAGUCAGUGGUGAAAUCUCCGGGCUUAACCCGGAACUGCCGUUGAUACUAUCUGUCUUGAAUAUAGUGGAGGUGAGCGGAAUAUGUCAUGUAGCGGUGAAAUGCUUAGAUAUGACAUAGAACAUCGAUUGCGAAGGCAGCUCGCUACACUAUCAUUGACACUGAGGCACGAAAGCGUGGGGAUCAAACAGG